rfam:Triticum aestivum genome assembly, contig: Triticum_aestivum_CS42_TGACv1_scaffold_116377_2AS
UACAUACUCCCUCCGUCCGGAAAUACUUGUCAUCGAAAUGGAUGAAAAUUGAUGUAUCUAGAAGACUAGAACUAAAACACAUCUAAAUACAUCCAUUUAUAUGACAAGUAUUUCCCGACGGAGGGAGUAUUAA